AUAUAACGGAAGAGUGUAUAGUGAUGAAUUAAAUAUACAUCACUUAUUGAUGAUUGUGUCGUAAUUUCUGCAUUAAAUAAAUUAUGUAUUUCGUUCAUAGCAGUUCAAUGGCACUAAUUCCUUAAGCAACUAUUGUGAAUAUGCAAUCAUGGCGAUGAAAUGAAACAUUUGACACAAAUAAUGUAAUUGUUAGUUAGCCGAGUCUGUUUAACUGUCGUGAACUUCGUACGUUCGCUUACUCGUGGUGUCGCGUGUUCGAAUCUCGCUGCGGACGUCUGAGCUCUCAAUUUGAAUUUUACUUAAUUAAAUUGGACAUUUCUCCUUUUCGCUUCUGUUCAGUAUUUCCCCAUUGCCUUUGCCCGUAUUGCUGUACCAACGGAAAGUUGCUGCUUCAAAUGCGUUUUCCAUUACACAACGGGGCUAUAGAAAAUAUUCCUUAUCACUCCACGGGGUCUCUGCGCAUUACAAAGCUGUAGACCUCACUAACCCGGGAAUGACAAUUUUU